rnacentral:rRNA from 1 species
AGGAUGAACGCUAGCGGCGUGCCUAACACAUGCAAGUCGAACGUCCUGUCUCGCAAGAGGCAGGGAGUGGCGGACGGGUGAGUACCACGUGGGUCAUCUACCGUGAGGUGAGGAAUACCGGCGAGAAAUCGCCGACAAGACCGCAUAGCCUCGGUGCAAGCCGAGGAAAGCUUUCUCGAGAGAGGGAGCGCCACACGAGGAGCCUGCGCCCGAUUAGCUAGCUGGUGGAGUAACGGUUCACCAGGGCGACGAUCGGUAGCUGGUCUGAGAGGACGAUCAGCCACACUGGGAUUGAGAACGGCCCAGACUCCUACGGGGGGCAGCAGUGAGGAAUUUCGUCAAUGGGGGCAACCCUGAACGAGCAACGCCGCGUGCAGGAAGAAGGUUUUCGGAUCGUAAACUGCUUUUCUCGGGGAAGAGAACGGACGGUACCCGAGGAAUCAGCCCCGGCUAACUACGUGCCAGCAGCCGCGGUAA